GGCACAGAUGGGCAAAACUUGAAGUCUGAGAAAGCAAACAUUUCCCCCUUAUCAGGAAUCCUUUCGUUGAUUUACUUAGACAAGGUUUUCAGGUUUUGAUACGUGAGCAUAAAGAAGCAAAGGAAGCAAGUGUCUAUGAUGUAUGCAUAUCUGACCAAGAAACAGAAGCAAUCAAACUCACUAUCUGAUGGGUAUGCUGUGACGUGCUUAUCCGGUUACCUGAUCUUGGACAUUUGCUUUGUUUCCAGUUCUUUACCAUGAAAAAUAAGUGGACAGUUAAGACAUGGACACAACCAAGUACCAGACACUUAACAUUGGGAAGGAAGCAUGAUUUCAC